UAGGGAAUCUUCCGCAAUGGACGCAAGUCUGACGGAGCAACGCCGCGUGAGUGAAGAAGGAUUUCGGUUCGUAAAACUCUGUUGUUAGAGAAGAACAGCGCAUAGAGUAACUGUUAUGCGUGUGACGGUAUCUAACCAGAAAGCCACGGCUAACUACGUGCCAGCAGCCGCGGUAAUACGUAGGUGGCAAGCGUUGUCCGGAUUUAUUGGGCGUAAAGCGAGCGCAGGCGGUCAAUUAAGUCUGAUGUGAAAGCCCCCGGCUCAACCGGGGAGGGUCAUUGGAAACUGGUUGACUUGAGUGCAGAAGGGGAGGGUGGAAUUCCAUGUGUAGCGGUGAAAUGCGUAGAUAUAUGGAGGAACACCAGUGGCGAAGGCGACUCUCUGGUCUGUAACUGACGCUGAGGCUCGAAAGCGUGGGUAGCAAACAGG
rnacentral:rRNA from 1 species